GCCCUCAUAGCUCAACGGAUAGAGCAUAGCCCUCCGAAGGCUAGGAUAGGGGUUCAAUUCCUCUUGAGGGCACAA
rnacentral:tRNA from 1 species